CGGGGACUCCGUGGCCAGCCGCCAGAGCUCCUCCCUGGCCUGGACGGAAGCCUGUAAGGCCUCCAGGACGGAGCUCUUGAAGAUACCCGCAUUGCGCCUGUAACGGACCUCCCCAUUGGCUGGCGGACAUCACGUGGAGGACAGACAGAGGACGUGCGCUUCGGAAGCGAGGAAUCACGUCACGUCCAUAGACGGCUUCCAACUUUCUUCAUGAGUCGAAGAAAGAAGAGAAAAUGCUGAAACCUACCCUGCAGUAUGAAAAUGGUAGUAAACAUUCAACUUUUAUCCUACCUGAUCACAUAACACAGUUUUAUUUAUUUAGUAUCUCUAAUGACUAAUAUUGUAUUCUGAAAUGAGCUGGUCCAAUAUUUAGUAAGACAUUUUCUGUAUUAAAAAUGUAAAUUAUUCUGCCCAUGCAAUCACUCCUCUGACAAUUAACAUACGGUAUUAACCUGGUUGUAGAUUUUUUUUUUUUUUUUGGACAGAACAUUUAAAAGCUUAUUCUAUGGUCACUUACUAAACAAAAUUAAGCCAAAUUGGGGAGGGGGGGGAAAAUCAGCUAGGGGUCGUCAAGCUAAUGCUAUUGAUUAACUGAUCACCAGCUACGGUAAUCAAGUCAUUUAAAGUAUGUUUUUCACUUGGCUAACAAAAACGGAGAUUUUUUAUUUUUUAUUUUUUAGCAAGGACCUUAAAUAACCAGUGGUUACUGUUAUGUACGGUCAAAUUUCUAAACCCCUAAUGCCACAAAUCUAAAGGAUGAAAAAUUGACUGCUGGAAAACAUUUGAGACACCCCAGCAAAUUAAUCAUAAGGCCAAAUAGUGAAUUAGUCAGGAAACUUACAAAACCCAAGAGCACCGUCUCAGACACCAUAGGCCUCACUUACCAGGAGAAAACCUCCCCUCUGAGAAAAACAGACUUAAAUGCCUUUAGUUUGCAAAAUCACAUGUGAUGGAACCAAGACACUUCUUGAACAUUGUGAUUUGUACACAUGAGGCUAGAGAAGUUUGGUGAAACGGCAUAUCGUCACAAACAUCUCAAAUCGGCUGUCAGGCAUGGAGGUGGGGGUGUGAUGGUCUGGGCUUGUUUAGCAGUCACAUACAGUCACUGUGGGCCAUUUAUUCUGCUGUAUAAUGAAAUAUCUUAGAAUCUGUUGACAGCUGAAAGUGGGCCAGAACUGGAUACAGCAGAACAAAGAAAAUUGGGGAGAAAAUAUGACUUUAAGACUCAGUCAAACAAAAUGAGCUAAAACUAUUUCUGACGUAGGUUUUUAAACAGAAUGAAUCAUAUGGUGUGAAAAAAGCAUCCUUUGAUUCAGAAUAAUCAUCUUAAAGCACUUUGACUAAAAUUCCAGAGACCAAAGCCUACCUCUGAACAGUUUCUGCUUCUUCACUCCAAAAAACCCUUUAAACAAUCAAACAAAAAUCUCGUUUUUUUAUGAGAUGAGGAGAGUUCACCAAAACAGCUCAGGGCACCAAGAAGAUCUGCAACAGCUGUCACUAUAUGAUGAAGUUUCCAUUUAAGUCUGGAAAACUUUUCAGUGGCCACUUAAACCGCUAUAAGCCUAAAAAAAAUAAAAAUAAAACAGUACAUCUGACGAUUCAACCCUCAAUUGUACAGUUAAAAAACAUUUUUCAAGCAUCGUUUUCAGGGAAACUAGCGACAAACUACAAACAACCGCUCGAGUUCAUCAAGUUGUUUCCAAAGAUGAGAAGUAAACGGUGUAAAUGUGAGCUGUUAUAAACACCAGCUUGUUUUUUUUAAUGGGACAAAGCAAAAACACAAACCAUGUCACUGAUGUAUGAACAGAACUCGUCUUCUCAAAAACGUAGGCUGAAAACAUUCAUAGGCACUGCCUACUCUCUUACUUUUAUCAAUUUUUUUUGGUCAAAUUAAAAGUAACUUAACUUGAUAAGGCAACAAAAAUGGAUUUUCCAACUCUACGGACACAACUGUAGACAAGCUGCGAAAGUCUUGAGCGCUAGAAGUAGGUUUCGGAAUCUAUAAAAACAAUCACUACAAUGGUGUAAAACAAUAAUUUAAAUUAUAAAGUUGUUUUUUGUUUUUUUUUAUUUCUUUAAGUUUAAUCUAAAGACUUCCGCAUUACAUAGCAAUGCCACUUGUCCUCCAAUCUGCUGGACGAGUGAAAUGUUGCUCUGCUCCUACCAGCACUGGACAGAGGUGCUACCUUCAAACGGGCGCCGGGAUCGGUUUCCCCCAACCAGGAGCAAGCACGCAUUCUCAUUGAACAUGUCUUUAUACAGCUUUAGUACAAUUAAACAGACUGUUUGGCUAUUUACAUGUAACAGGCUUCCAAAUAAAAACCGCAGAAAAAGUGGAAUGCAAAAAAAAAAAAAAAGAAAGAAAGAAAAUUUAGAG